GGAGUAAAGCUAGCCAUGAGAAGUCAGCCGAGGCCAUAGUACCAGAUACCGACUAUAUCAGGGAAGGGC
rfam:Cecembia lonarensis LW9 contig000203, whole genome shotgun sequence.